rnacentral:rRNA from 1 species
UACGUAGGGGGCAAGCGUUGUCCGGAUUUAUUGGGCGUAAAGAGCGUGUAGGCGGCCAUGUAGGUCCGUUGUGAAAACUCGAGGCUCAACCUCGAGACGCCGAUGGAAACCAUGUGGCUAGAGUCCGGAAGAGGAGAGUGGAAUUCCUGGUGUAGCGGUGAAAUGCGCAGAUAUCGGGAGGAACACCAAUGGCGAAGGCAGCUCGCUGGGACGGUACUGACGCUGAGGCGCGAAAGCGUGGGGAGCAAACAGG